rnacentral:rRNA from 1 species
UCGACCGACCCGCGAACCGAUAUCAGUUUGACCGCCUCUGCCCUGCUGUGCCUCUAGGUGCGGUCGGGUGGCAGACCUCUCUUAACAGAGCAACUCCCGGCGCCCAGCGCGCCAAGGAACUGUAGUCAAUCGGAACGGACUGAGUGGUCGACCCCGACGGGGCGCGCCCGCUUCGCAACCGAACCAAACAUCACACAUGCUCACGUACGACUCUCGGCAAUGAAUAUGUCAACUCUCGCAUCGAUGAAGAACGUAGCGAAAUGCGAUACUUUGUGUGAAUUGCAGAAUCUUGUGAAACCAUCGAGUCUUUGAACGGGAGUUGCGCCCAAGGCCGUCGGGCCGAGGGCACGCCUGCCUGGGCGUCAUGCCACCCAUCGCUCACCGCAUUCAACCCAGAGGGUGACGCGGAGAUUGGCCACUCGUGCCGGAGACAAUCUCUGUGAGCGGUGGGCCCAUAUGCAGGAAUUUUGUGCGGUUGGACGCGACGAGUGGUGUCCCGGAGCAAUACUGCAGACGCCGCGCCUUCCCAUGCCCCACUACGUGGAAUGAGAGUGGCACGGAUUGCAGGCUACCGAUGCGACGUGAGCGGAUCGGCGUGCCGGCUCCCAAAAAAUUAGC